CCAUGUUUGCUUUCUGGUGAGAGACAACACUGACUUGUUAGUGCAGGACACAGUAUGAGAGAGCGGUUUGUUUGUCGUGAAAAUCCCUGCUGGGUCAGCUAGGCCUUUUUUCUCAUUCCGCAAAUCAAUCAAAUAUCCUGUUUUGUCAAUUUAAAAAAAAUUAUUACACUCGAGCAACACACAAAACUGUAACGGCGGUAGCCUUGCUCAGCCCUGAAAACACAUAGGUAUGGGUUCUGAUGGGAUUUAUCCGAACCUCGUGAAGUCUGACCAGUCAGUGUCAAUGAACUGUUCACUAUAAACACGAGUUGAAACAGCGGCCACUGAUGACAGGCUCGUGAUGGAGGGCUGUCCCCACAGCGUGACGUCAGAAGAUUUUCCUGUGUCGCACCUGCAGGAUCCAGGAUGAGACAAAGCUGGGAGGGAGAGUUCGUGUACUCAUGUAUCUAUCUGCAGGCCACGCCGAGAGAAGCUUAACAUAAUAUGUGCCUCCGAAAGCUCAAAAGCCAGCAUGUAGGUGUGCACGAGAUCAGCAGCGAAAAAUGCGUCCUUGGUGUUUAAAAGGUAAGAUUGGCUUUCCCACAAGCGUGACACCCUGGCUGGGGCAAGAAAAGUCGUGUGCACUGCACUUUUUUGUAAGGUGCAGCGGCGGAGGGCAGUGUGCAGAGAAAGUGUUUGUGCUGCGGCCAUGCAGGUAGUGGAGAGGGGAAAGAGAAAAGCUAGUGCGGCCUCGAUUCCGGCGGUCACCGAGGACGACAGAUGAUAAACACGACAAACACGUGGCAGGUCUGAGGAGUACCUGUCACUCAGCUGGACACGAAGUGAGUGGGGAAACCGCAGCUUCUAUGACACGAGGAUCAUUGACUGUGCUGGCAGACAGAGAGAGGGAUGCAAAAAACCAGCGGAGACGGAUCCUUUGAUGAUGAUGACCGAUCCGUCACGGUCAAGGGAUGGUCAGUGCCCCCCAUUGGACCAUUGAGUCGCCACUAUUACCUGACCUAUCAGUCGGAACGGGUGCUCGAAGACGUACACAGAGCCUUGACCCUUCAUCCAUCGAGCGUCUUGCGUGUUUAGGGGAUUCUUCAGUUGGACAGCGUGGCUGCAUGUUACGGAUCUCAAGCUGUAAUAUUUCAAUUAAAGCAGAAAUGCUGUGCAAAACUAUGGCUACCUCGCAAAUUAAACUGAAUGUUUGAGACAGUCCAGCCUUGCUGAGAAUGGUGUACGGUAUAGGUUGGGAGAGGAGAGAACAGAAAGAAAAACGAGUUUGGCAGCUCCAGCGUUUGAUUGAUUGCCCCCGUGACGGUGACGUAAAGUCAGUAAAUGACAGGAGGGACGUACAACACGGAGGUGAUUUGUGUGAAGGAGAUGUGUCUCCCAUGGCCGAGAACUCGGAGCACUGAAUUGCAUAAAAAGAACUCGCAAGAGCAGGGCAUUUUUACAGCCAAACUAUAACAUGUGAUGUGCAGGGGCUGUAGCUGUCAAGCGAGGACAAGUCGUUGCCGAGGGGUAACAUGGGAAACUCGAGGACAAGCGUCUUGAUUACGAAUUCAUACAGCGAUGUCUAGACUGCUCAGAUGAUGUUUUACUCCUUGAGCCUCGGUUAUCAGGCGUUGCUAAAGAUUCCCUUCAAGAAGUAUAAAAUGGUGUCCGCGGGGUCUGAAGAUAGCUUUAUAACUUCGGAAAUAGAUGCUUUUCCUUGAGUUCCUAUUUUGUCCUGAGGAAACGAUUUACUCUCGCUUCAUAAUUACAGCCCCAUUGUCUUAUCAAUAGUGUAAACAGGGGUAAGGGACGAUUAUGCAACAUGGUCGUCUCCAAAUGCUGUCAGUAGACUAGUGAUGUCUUAAAAUCAAAUAUGCGCCCGUGAUAAAGAAACUUUAAAAAAUAAGCAUUUAUUUUCGCAGAAGUGCUGGAGAAUCUGUAAAGAAAAAGCCUACUGCUUGACAAGAAACAACGGAUAGUUCUCUAAUAUAGAACAUAGGAAAGCGUUCGAAAGAGACUUCCCUGACAUCCUCCUCCUCUUCCUCAUUAAAUUGUGUAGAGGACAGCCAUGCUCUACAGCCGUGCUUUAGUGGAAAGCUGUACGAGUCUUAACAGCUAAAGUCUGUUCUGUCGUCGUAACAAAAACAGAUUGUGACACUUUAUAACAGCAGCACCAUAAACUGCCAAAUAUUUGUGAAUUCUGCUCAAUAAACGCUUACAACAUGAAUAGCUCGAGUUCAGCAAAAGUGAUACACAGCUAUAGAGAGAUGUUAUUAUCAGGAUGUUCAAACGACUAAACAUAAAUAUCAUAGUGCUAUUAAAUAAUCUUAUCAGCUAGAACGAGGUUACAGUGCAUACCAAAAAUGGGGG